GUUAUAGGGACAAGCGAAUAAGUGCACAUGGUGGAUGCCUUGGCGAUUACAGGCGAUGAAGGACGUAGUAGCUUGCGAUAAGCUGCGGGGAGCUAGCAAACAAGCUUUGAUCCGCAGAUUUCCGAAUGGGGAAACCCGGCCUUUACAGGUCAUUGCAUACUGAAUACAUAGGUAUGCAAAGCGAACGCGGCGAACUGAAACAUCUAAGUAGCUGCAGGAAAAUAAAUCAACCGAGAUUCCCAAAGUAGUGGCGAGCGAAAUGGGAUGAGCCUGCACGUUUUAGCAUGACGCAUAGUAGAACGGAUUGGAAACUCCGGCCAUAGAGGGUGAUAGCCCCUUAUACGAAAUGCGAUGUGUGGAACUAAGCGUGCGACAAGUAGGGCGGGACACGAGAAAUCCUGUCUGAAUAUGGGGGGACCAUCCUCCAAGGCUAAAUACUCGUAAUCGACCGAUAGUGAACCAGUACCGUGAGGGAAAGGCGAAAAGAACCCCGGAAGGGGAGUGAAAUAGAUCCUGAAACCGUGUGCAUACAAACAGUAGGAGCGGACUUGUUCCGUGACUGCGUACCUUUUGUAUAAUGGGUCAGCGACUUACAUUCAGUGGCAAGGUUAACCGUAUAGGGAAGCCGUAGAGAAAUCGAGUCCGAAUAGGGCGACAGUCGCUGGGUGUAGACCCGAAACCAAGUGAUCUACUCAUGGCCAGGAUGAAGGUGCGGUAACACGCCCUGGAGGUCCGAACCCACUAAUGUUGAAAAAUUAGGGGAUGAGCUGUGGGUAGGGGUGAAAGGCUAAACAAACUUGGAAAUAGCUGGUUCUCUCCGAAAACUAUUUAGGUAGUGCCUCAAGUAUCACCAUCGGGGGUAGAGCACUGUUAUGGCUAGGGGUUCAUUGCGAAUUACCAAACCAUUGCAAACUCCGAAUACCGAUGAGUGCGAGCUUGGGAGACAGACGUCGGGUGCUAACGUCCGGCGUCAAGAGGGAAACAACCCAGACCGCCAGCUAAGGUCCCAAAGAUUGGCUAAGUGGAAAACGAAGUGGGAAGGCUAAAACAGUCAGGAUGUUGGCUUAGAAGCAGCCAUCAUUUAAAGAAAGCGUAAUAGCUCACUGAUCGAGUCGUCCUGCGCGGAAGAUGUAACGGGGCUAAGCCAGUCACCGAAGCUGCGGAUAU
rnacentral:rRNA from 1 species